UACAGAGGUCCCAAGCGUUGUUCGGAUUCACUGGGCGUAAAGGGUGCGUAGGUGGUGAGGUAAGUCGGAUGUGAAAUCUCCGAGCUCAACUCGGAAACUGCAUUGGAAACUACCUUGCUCGAGGGUUGGAGGGGGGACUGGAGUGCUUGGUGUAGCAGUGAAAUGCGUAGAUAUCAAGCGGAACACCAGUGGCGAAGGCGAGUCCCUGGACAACUCCUGACACUGAUGCACGAAAGCUAGGGGAGCAAACAGG
rnacentral:rRNA from 1 species